rnacentral:rRNA from 1 species
AUGAACAAUGCUCUACUUGCUCCUUAUACCGCAGAAGAUGUUCGCAAGGCUUUAUUUGAUAUUGGGGACUUGAAAGCUCCAGGACCAGAUGGACUCCACGCUAUCUUCUAUAAAAGGUUCUGGCCCAUGCUAGGGGAAGACCUAAUUGAGGAGGUUCUGAAAGCAAUCAACACAUGUACUAUCCCGGAUGGUUGGAAUGAUACUGCAAUCGUGAUGAUUCCGAAGAUUAACACACCAGAAAAGAUUCUUAGAAUCGGUGAGCCGCUUGCUGAUUGGAAGAUGGCAGCUUCUAUCACCUUGGGAGAUCUACAAUUGGUAACUGUCGGACUCGUGCGCCUUUCUACCGAGUGUUUUCUGCAUGUCUCUUGCCUGUUCUUCACACGUUAUGAGUACCUCCUCUAG